GAUGCAGGUGAAGACAAGAUCUGGUCCUGUAGCCUGCCUCCAAAACAGCUGUAUCCAUGUCCUGUGGAAGGGACAACAUAACCAGAUCUUUCUUAUUCAAGAGUGUGAUUGAAGGACCCCUCACACUGCACCUGGAUCUGGUAAAAGGCUUGAUCACUUCAGCUGCACUGAGUCACACUCUGGCUUCUGAGAACAAUGUAAUGGAAAAUGUGCAACCAGUGUACAUAGCUAAUCAUUUCCUAACGUGCUGCUGCAGUGCCCUGUGUAAAGGCACCCUGAGAACACAGCCAGGACAUACCCCAGCAACACAGCUGGUGCAUCCUACAGCCUGCACCUUACUAUUCCUGUUGCUGUCAUCCCUGGGCACAGCUGGGAAGCAGGGAGAGCUGGGACCACAGAUGCACUGGAGGAGAUGCUCGGAGCCCCAGGCAGAAUUCUGGAUCAUGGUUGUUUUCAGCUCUCAGGUGGGACCACUGAGGGGCUUUGUGGGGUUUGACCCCUUAAACUCAUGGAUUUUGCACUUGCUGCAGGGAACUGUCUGCUGUGCUGCAGGCUCAGGCAGGGCGAGGGGACAGCAAGGAGGCUGAAGGCAUUGCCAGGAGCUCCUGAAAACAGCCCCUUAUGAAACAUCCCCCCUCCACACAUACAAGUCCCUGCCCAGGGGGAAGAGGUGGUAAGAAGACGGGGUUCCUUGCUCCUGCCUACAAGCAGGUGAAGAGCUGGUGGUACCCGAGGGCUCUGUGCCUGCUGCCAGCCCUCGGUGAAGCAGGCUGCCAAGCCCACCUCCUCUGCAGCGGUGUUGCAACAAGUCCUUAAGGCACGUGUUUUAUGGGCUGUUUUAAUGCUCCCGCGGAGUCCCUCAGCGUCACGCUCGAUGGGGAAAUGACUGAAUGUAUCUCAGCAUAUCAGAGAGCUGACUGCCCACCCAGGCACCGCUCACAAACCUCUCCAGCUAACUGGAUUGUUUCAAGGCAGCUAUAAUUAGGUGUAAUAACUGUAAUCAUAAUUGAAGCUACUCAUAAUGGGGAUAUUUGCUUCUUAAUUCAGUAUUAAAAUGGUCUACUUGAAUAUUGGAUCAACAAUUCAGAGAAAUCAAUGAAAAAUACAUUAUAAAACAAUCUGAUUUGUGGAUGGUCUUGGGUGAAAACUAUUGAAAAAAUGACAGAAAAGAGCCCAGACUGAAGCCCUGUGCUUCAAAAUAACAUGAGUUAAGAGAUAAUAUAUUAUCAGUUUGUACAGUGUUGCUUGCAACCUGUUAUCAUGUGUCAGAGAUAAGAGAACAUAUGACUCCUACAGAAGGUUUCUUGGAUGACAAAAAUUCCUAGAUACUAUUUGAAUUAUCAUGUGCCAAUAGCUCAGCAUUUGUGGAAGAUGUCGUCUAAUUAAACCAGAAUUUUUAAGUACCAGACAGCAUGAAGACCAGUAAUAAGAGAGCAAGAUCCGUCUGUAUUACAGAUGGGAUGUGCAACUCUAAUAGUAUGGCUUUAGGCAAUAUUUAAUUGAGUAGUUAAAUUAUCUUUUCCAGACGGGAAAAUAAAUUACUGCUCAUCUCUCCA
rnacentral:lncRNA from 1 species